CUUGACCGCAGCACAUUCGUUUUCCUUACAGUAUGUAGUACGCAUUCUACCUUUUUCUACAAUGAAUCCACCAGCAGAAAUUCCUGUACACAUCUUAUCAACAAAGAAUUUGAACCUCAAAGAGUGGCUCAAAGAGGUCAGGAGGCACCUUCAACACUUUUGUUGGAGAUCUCCUUGUCUAGAUCAUCAGGUUUGUCAGAUUCUCACUCUGUCACCUAGGCUGCAGUGCAGUGGUGCGAUCUCAACUCACUGCAACCUCUACCUCCUGGGUUCAAGCAAUUCUCC